CUAAACCUCAUGCUGAACGGAUGAAAAAAUGAGAAAGAUAAUUAUAUCCAUUUACUAGAACUUGCUGUGUGCUUAUAUGGUCUACAGAGAAGAGUCAAUGGAAGGUGUAAAUAAUUUUAAAUACAUCAAAUAUAAAAUGGAACACUGAAGGAGGCUCAUUGGUAUUGGAAAUUUCCUGAGGAUAUGGACUCUGGUUUGGUCUUCUUUAUUUCCCCUUGUAAAUAAAGGAAGGGCAUGAACAGAUAAACAGCUUACCAGAGGUCUCACUCUGAGUGGAGUGGAGCC
rnacentral:lncRNA from 10 species